GAUGAACGCUGGCGGCGUGCCUAAUACAUGCAAGUCGAGCGAACAGACGAGGAGCUUGCUCCUCUGACGUUAGCGGCGGACGGGUGAGUAACACGUGGAUAACCUACCUAUAAGACUGGGAUAACUUCGGGAAACCGGAGCUAAUACCGGAUAAUAUAUUGAACCGCAUGGUUCAAUAGUGAAAGACGGUUUUGCUGUCACUUAUAGAUGGAUCCGCGCCGCAUUAGCUAGUUGGUAAGGUAACGGCUUACCAAGGCAACGAUGCGUAGCCGACCUGAGAGGGUGAUCGGCCACACUGGAGCUGAGACACGGUCCAGACUCCUACGGGAGGCAGCAGUAGGGAAUCUUCCGCAAUGGGCGAAAGCCUGACGGAGCAACGCCGCGUGAGUGAUGAAGGUCUUCGGAGCGUAAAACUCUGUUAUUAGGGAAGAACAAAUGUGUAAGUAACUAUGCACGUCUUGACGGUACCGAAUCAGAAAGCCACGGCAAACUACGU
rnacentral:rRNA from 1 species